rnacentral:rRNA from 1 species
AUUGAACGCUGGCGGCAGGCCUAACACAUGCAAGUCGAGCGGAUGAGGAGAGCUUGCUCUCUGAUUUAGCGGCGGACGGGUGAGUAAUGCCUAGGAAUCUGCCUGGUAGUGGGGGAUAACGUUCCGAAAGGAACGCUAAUACCGCAUACGUCCUACGGGAGAAAGCAGGGGACCUUCGGGCCUUGCGCUAUCAGAUGAGCCUAGGUCGGAUUAGCUAGUUGGUGAGGUAAUGGCUCACCAAGGCGACGAUCCGUAACUGGUCUGAGAGGAUGAUCAGUCACACUUAAACUGAGAGACGGUCCCGACUCCUACGGGAGGCGGCAGUUGGGAUUAUUGGGAAAUGGGCGAAAGGCUGAUCCAGCCAUGCCGCGUGUGUGAAGAAGGUCUUCGGAUUGUAAAGCACUUUAAGUUGGGAGGAAGGGUUGUAGAUUAAUACUCUGCAAUUUUGACGUUACCAACAGAAUAAGCACCGGCUAACUUCGUGCCAGCCGCCGCGGUAAGAC